AGGGGAAAAGAGAAAUAGAGAAUGAGACGUGCACCCCUACAAGACGCGGUGUUCAUUCCUCACCAGUGAGGGAUGGGUCUGCCUCAGACAUGGGAGAUCUGCCGACUGAAAUAUCUUGCUGUUUCCAGCAGCUCAAUCUGCCACCAAAGGGAGAUCUCCAGUUUGCAGAGAUGUGCUCUGCUCUGGCAAGGUCUGCAGGCCAGUCUGCUGCAGGGAUUCCUCAGCAGAAGCCUGAACGGUGUGGGUUCAGCUGUGCUUGACAGGCUUAAUGCAAACACCUGGCCAGGACAAAAGUUUGAUCCUACAAGAGCCAAGCAAUGCAGCAGCUCCAUCUCAUUGGCCAGAAGAUAAGCACUGCACGUGCAGAUCUCCCAGAUGUGCCAGGACUUGGUCCAGGACUCUUCGUACAUCCUCCGAAAGCCAGAUGUAAGGGAAAGGCUGCUCCAUGUGGUGCAUCGAACACGUUUCAUUUUGUGGGCCUCAGAUUGAGCAAAAAGGGCUCUCAGAGCAAGGCUAUGGGAUGCGGGUUCUGACCUUCACACCCUUCUCUCUCCUGUUCUCAUUGGUGCUGUGUGGUGAGGGGAGGCUCCUGCAGCACCUGCCCUGGGAGCGGUAAUGUGGCAAGCUGGCAGGACCAGCAAGUGCCAUAAAGUUGCUUGGAGCGAGUCUGAAGCUGAGAAAGCUUACCCAGGCCUGGAGGGUGGAGAACAGACAGCUGGCAAGAUCACUUAUCAGGGGUUUCCUUUAGAUUAGCACAGUGCUGGCCCAAGCUUCUGCAAGCUCUCUGUGAUUUAAUGGAAACUUGCAGCUGCCUGCAGUGCGCAUGCAGCCCCACUGCCUCCAUGGAGACCCUUCCCUGGCCAUGGAAAUGCUGGGGAUGCAGCGUGGGAGCCAGGAGUGUCUGGAACAAGGCAGCAAAACUUGCUCGGUUAGACAAAGCAGUGUGACAGUCCCACCUAACAGCAGCUAUGCUACUGGGAAUGCAGACAAAGGUGUCACCGUGAUUAAUGGGGCACUCAUCUGAGCACCGCAUCCAGGAGCACAGGUUGCACCUCGCCCUGGUGGCCUGACUUUUGCAGGCUUUGUUUGAUGUGAGCCCGGCUCAGGAACGGCUGGAAGGAAUUCAGGGACAGUGGCAAAAAGGUCUGCUCGUGGUGCUAGGAUCCAGUAACUCUUCCUGUAAGAAUGUGUUGCUUGGAUGUGAAGAGAUGCUAUCGAUCUGACAAUGGAGGUUGCAGAUGAAGGAGAAAAGGUUGGAAUUAAGCCGACAGCACUCAGCUGCUGUAAGGGAACUGACUUCAUUUGACUGGCUCUGUCAUCCUCAGGAGGAAACUUUCCUCUACGAAAUGGUGAAAUAGUGCCUACGUGGAAACAUUCUGACUGUGCAUGGGCCUGGAGAUGAGAAAGAAUAAUCCUUGGGGGUGGCUGUGAAGAGGAAUUGUCACCCUUCCUCCAGCUCUAUCUUCAAGAGGCAGUUAACAAAUAACCUUCCUUUGGGAUAAAUUAGCUCUGAAUCCCAAUUCAAUAGCUGCUCAUUUUAAGAUGUCCUUGUUACCUUGUGUGAGUGGCUGAUCUUCCUUUGAAUCCUGCUGUGUUUUCAGACCCCGUGAUUGCUACGAGCAAUCAUGAGCUCCACGUUAACAGCUCAUGCACUGAUUGCGCUGCGCAGUCCCAACACAACCCUUUGUGAAAAAGUUUCUGGAAGUUGAGCCUCUGCUUUCCGCCAUCAGAAAGAGACACGGUUCUCAUUCCAUCCCAAAUUCAGGCAACUGACUUCAAACGGAAACCGGGUUUGCAAGGCCUGGUGAACGGACAAGAUCCGUGCUUCGGAGUCCAGCUUUAGAAAGAACAUAUUUCAGACAUCGUCAAGGAAACCUGGUGAAGGCACUGAGUUGGCCAACUGUGCCUGCGGGCAGCCUGGAGCAAAGGCUCUGAGAUGUGCAAAUCGUAACGCAAAUGGGUUUAUUUUUUUCUCCAGCCCGGCGUUGUUGCAAAGGAGGAGAGUGGCAUAGGAUGGCUCCAAAGAAAAGAGAAAGAAAACCUCCUGCCAUGUCAGCUUGCCCAGACCUUUCUGUGAGACAGCCUUCCCCAGCUACGUUAAGGGCUGCUUCUUGUGGACUGGAAGUAUUGCCAGAGAGUGAGUGAUCCUUAUUAAUGUGCAUCUCCAAAAACAACAGGCAGUCUUGCACAGAUCCUCUAACACAUAUCUUUGGAUUUGGAGACGUUUGAGAGCUAUUUAUUCCCUCUCACACCAAUAUCAGCCAUACUGCAAGAUGUCUUGAGCUGAUUAAAAAUCUCUUUAAUCAAAUACUGGCAGGGGAAGUGUUCAAAACAUUAGAAGAAUGUCUUUGACAAGCUGCCUCUGCACUGUGAGUGACUUCAUCCAGAGGUUGGCCCGGCAGGCUGGCAUGUGAUGCACAGCCUCCACUCACCUUGCUUUCCAAAGCUGCCAACAAAGUGCAGUGAUGAUUCUGAGAGCCAGUAGGACACUGUAGCCUGUGUUUGGUUCUUUUCUGUGAGAUAGUGCCCCCCAAAAAACCUUUGUUCCAGGCAAAAUCCAUCACUCCGUUCAUCAAUCCCUACCUACGCUUCAAAUUCCUAUAUCCCAAAUCCAUGGGAACGAUUUUGAACAUGAAUGUAGGUUGGAAAUCAUUGCUGUGCAGAUUGUCUAGAGGCUUUUUUUUCCCCUGUUCUAUGGCUGAAGUGGACUUCAAAAGGAUAAAUAAAAUCCAUUCUGGAAGACCCCCCCCCCCUGCGAGGAGCAUACUUCUUUGGAGAGAGGGUAAAAAGAAGCCUCCUGAUAUUUUAUUCAACCAGAAUGAAGUGUUUUGAUUUUGGGGAAUUCAGCUAAUUUUCUUACUCCUCAAAAUAGGUCAGCUUUGAAAUAGAAAAUGUCACGCUGAAACAAAAAAACGGAAUAGAUUUGUUUAGUAAAUGUGAGAUUAUAUGUACAUACUUUCAGAAUUUUAACAAGCUUAUGAAUGGAAAGAAAGCAUCCAGGUUAUUUCUUAUUCAAUUAGACUUGGAUUUGGGACCAGUUUUCACUCUCCAUAAACUGCUUUUCUAUUUCAUUUAGAAAAUCCCCUUCCUCCACAAAAGCCCCUUCCCCUAGCCGUUACUGGAAAUAAAUAGCUAUAAUAUAGCUGGAAUUAAUACAGCUACACUGAAUCAACUAUGUGCUGAAUUGUUUUUCCUCAGUGCUCUCUGAGCACCCAGACCUGCUCAAUAGGAAGCAUUGGCAGUUGGGGCUACAUAUAGAAAACCAGGGUGGAGGAAAUCUUGUGCCAGCAGCCCUCUUGUGUGGGUCUUUUCCAAGCUUUGACUCUAUUCCCUCAUUCCU